GACGAACGCUGGCGGCGUGCCUAAUACAUGCAAGUCGAACGCAGUGGGGACGGGUGAGUAACACGUGGGUAACCUCCCAUCAGAGGGGAUAACACUUAGCAACCGGUGCUAAACCGAUACUGAUUGAUGUACCCGCGGUGCAUUAGCUAGUUGGUGAGGUAACGGCUCACCAAGGCGACGAUGCAUAGCCGAUCUGAGAGGGUGAUCGGCCACACUGGGACUUAGACACGGCCCAGACUCCUACGGGAGGCAGCAGUAGGGAAUCUUGGGCAAUGGACGAAAGUCUGACGGAGCAACGCCGCGUGAGUGAAGAAGGUUUUCGGAUUGUAAAACGCUGUUGUUAGAGAAGCGGUAUCUAAACAGAAAGCCACGGCUAACUACGUGCCAGCAGCCGCGGUAAUAC
rnacentral:rRNA from 1 species